UACGGAGGGUGCGAGCGUUGUCCGGAAUCAUUGGGCGUAAAGGCGCGUAGGCGGCCUUCUAAGUCAGACGUGAAAUCCCCCGGCUUAACCUGGGAACUGCGUCUGAUACUGGGAGGCUUGAGUAUGGGAGAGGGAUGUAGAAUUCCAGGUGUAGCGGUGAAAUGCGUAGAUAUCUGGAGGAAUACCGGUGGCGAAGGCGGCAUCCUGGACCAUAACUGACGCUGAGGCGCGAAAGCUAGGGGAGCAAACGGG
rnacentral:rRNA from 1 species